AAUGGCAAUAUGGGGGCAUUACAGGUGCAGCUGUUGUGUCACAUGUGCGUCAGUAGGUGGCAGAGAGGAGAGAGGCUAUGUCCACUCUCAGUGUUCUGAUUUGUGACUCUGAAUAAUUAGUUCCCUAACACU